rnacentral:misc_RNA from 1 species
GUCAAAACGUCUUAUAGGAUUCACAAUGCAGGCAAACAACAUAUUCUCAUCGCAGACAACCAUCCACUUCUUGUUUACUACAGAUCAGUAAGCUAAUAAAGCAAUCUACAUAUAAGAGAGUGGACAAGCUAACCAUGCAAAACUGCUCUUCCCUUUCCUCUCAGUUAUCACUUCCAUCAUUGCUUGACCCCAUUUCCAGGAGCGAGAGAACAAGCAAGGGACCAAGAACUGGUGGGAGCGGUGGUGGCUUGCUGAAGGCAACAAGAGGUACCACAUUGUCAUUCAUCACUGCUCCCGCUUUCUCAUGCUUGUUCUUUUCAAGCCUAUUGGGGAUCGAGACCGUAAUAGACCUCCAUGAUCCUGAUCCUUUCAAUGGACAGUUUUGCUUAAUGAUAUUCUUUAAAAGCAUAUUGAUAGCUCCCCUCAUUUUUCUCACCUGUGUGUGAAAUUGCCG